rnacentral:rRNA from 1 species
AGAGACAGCAGUAGCCACGGUAAUACGUAGGGUGCAAGCGUUAAUCGGAAUUACUGGGCGUAAAGCGCGCGUAGGUGGUUUGUUAAGUUGGAUGUGAAAUCCCCGGGCUCAACCUGGGAACUGCAUCCAAAACUGGCAGGCUAGAGUAGGGCAGAGGGUGGUGGAAUUUCCUGUGUAGCGGUGAAAUGCGUAGAUAUAGGAAGGAACACCAGUGGAGAAGGCGACCACCUGGGCUCAUACUGACACUGAGGUGCGAAAGCGUGGGGAGCAAACAGGAUUAGAUACCCCUGUAGUCCCUGUCUCUUAUAC